rnacentral:lncRNA from 1 species
CCUUACCCCUAUUUUGAGGAGGUAGAGAGGCUGUUUUCAAUAGACUGUCAACUCAAGUGAAGUAUAUCGAAUCAGUUGCACUGUUUCGAAAUUUCGGAUUCAUAUACGGAGCUAUGUCCGUCCAUACAUGAUGAGAUGCAGCCGCAUGUCACGUGGGUAUCUCCGGCCGCAGAUGGCCAAGUGCGCCCGCAAGUAAUUUUGUCAGAAAGACAGUCUCUCGAUCAUUUUCCGAAGCCGAG